rnacentral:rRNA from 1 species
CUACGGGAGGCAGCAGUGGGGAAUUUUGGACAAUGGGCGAAAGCCUGAUCCAGCCAUGCCGCGUGCGGGAAGAAGGCCUUCGGGUUGUAAACCGCUUUUGUCAGGGAAGAAAUCUUCUGGGUUAAUACCUUGGAAGGAUGACGGUACCUGAAGAAUAAGCACCGGCUAACUACGUGCCAGCAGCCGCGGUAAUACGUAGGGUGCGAGCGUUAAUCGGAAUUACUGGGCGUAAAGCGUGCGCAGGCGGUUGUGCAAGACAGGUGUGAAAUCCCCGGGCUUAACCUGGGAACUGCACUUGUGACUGCACAGCUGGAGUGCGGCAGAGGGGGAUGGAAUUCCGCGUGUAGCAGUGAAAUGCGUAGAUAUGCGGAGGAACACCGAUGGCGAAGGCAAUCCCCUGGGCCUGCACUGACGCUCAUGCACGAAAGCGUGGGGAGCAAACAGGAUUAGAUACCCGCGUAGUCCG